UGGGGAAUCUUGCGCAAUGGGCGAAAGCCUGACGCAGCGACGCCGCGUGGGUGACGAAGGCCUUCGGGUUGUAAAGCCCUGUGGGGGGAGAAGAAUAAGUGGGUGCGAAUAGCACACAUGAUGACGGUAUCCCCUUAGCAAGCACCGGCUAACUCUGUGCCAGCAGCCGCGGUAAGACAGAGGGUGCAAACGUUGUUCGGAAUGACUGGGCGUAAAGCGCAUGUAGGCGGCCUGACAGGUCGGAUGUGAAAUCCCUCGGCUCAACCAAGGAAGUGCAUUCGAAACCGUCAGGCUGGAGUCCUCGAGAGGAAGGUGGAAUUCUCGGUGUAGAGGUGAAAUUCGUAGAUAUCGGGAGGAACACCGGCGGCGAAAGCGGCCUUCUGGAGAGUGACUGACGCUGAGAUGCGAAAGCAUGGGGAGCAAACA
rnacentral:rRNA from 1 species